rnacentral:misc_RNA from 1 species
AACGCACAUUGCGCCCGCCAGUACUCUGGCGGGCAUGCCUGUCUGAGCGUCAUUUCAACCCUCGCCCCCGGCUUCUGUCGGGGACGGUGUUGGGGAUCGGCCUCCCGUCUUCCGGGUGGCCGGCCCCUAAAUCGAGUGGCGACCACGUCGUAACCUCCUCUGCGUAGUAGUUAAACACUCGCGGGCGGAGAGCGGUGCGGCCUGCCGUAAAACCCCCAACUCUUCUAAGGUUGACCUCAGAUCAGGUAGGAAUACCCGCUGAACUUAA